UAAUGUCUCCUGACCAUGACAAUUCUACCCUUGUUAUUUAUUUUUAUUAAUAUUAUGAGUUAGUUUUUUUAUAAGAAUUGAUAAAUUUUUGUUGUGAUAUUUAAAAAUUUUCAUUUUGAUAAUUUUGAAUCGAAUAAAAUGACACCUGUAAUUUUUUAAUUAACAACAAAAAUAAAUAUAUAUAUAUAUACGUAUAUAUGUAAUCAUUGUUGGUGAUUUAAAAAUAAUCUUCUGAGAAAGUAUAAAGUCAUAGAAGAAAUUUAAGUCCGGCAAAAUGAAUUUACGUAUUAUUGCAGAUACACUCAGUAUUAUAACUAUAACCAUUUGUUUCAUACUCAAGGUUCCGCAGAUUUUAAAUUUAUUGUCUGUUAAAUCUGCCAAAGGAAUGUCUAUUUUAGGAUUGAUGUUAGAACUUACCAGUUACACUGUAACAACUUGUUACAAUUACACCAAUGGAUAUUCAUUGUUGUCAUACUUGGAAUAUCCAAUUAUUUUAAUCCAAGAAUAUAUACUGAUAUAUUUAGUAUUAAAAUAUCUUAAAAAGAUAAAUAAACUAACACUAGCAAUUGCUUCAUGCUACUUCGUCCUCAGUACCUGUAUAUUAAUGGGAAUAAUCCCGAGAAUAAUUCUUUCAUUUUUAACUCCGAUGGGUACCCCGAUAUCUGCGUCGAGUAAAAUAGUCCAGCUGCUAGCAAUCAUUAGAUCCAAAAAUUCUGAAUCUGUUUCCAUAUUAACGUGGUUUAUAUCAGCAUUCACAAAUAUGACGAGGAUAUUUACUAUAUGGGUCGACUCUGCUGACGUUUUGUUACUAGGAAAUUUUAUUAUCUCGACAGCACUAAGUCUGAGUGUUAUGCUUUCGGCGAUUUAUUACAAGCCGAGUAAAAAAAGUAUUUAAGUUCAAUAAAUAAUCAUAGGGUGGCUAUCAGGGGCAGUUUCUCACUAAGUUGCCUAAGUCAUUAGCAAUCAUUUAAUCUUGUAUCGUUGUGAGUUCAAGUGAUCUGCAUCUCGUACGAAUAUAUAAAAUUACUAAUUCUGAUUUAUUUCGUAAGUUAUUUUAUCAAAUUAAUUGUAUGGACAAAACAAGUCCAUUUAUUACAUUAUUUUGUCAAAAUAAGUUACUCGAUCAAUUAAAUGUUGAUUUUAGGUUCGACUUGAAAAAUUCCAACUUUAACACGCCUUUUUUUUUAUUGGAAAGAGGAUAUUGAAAGUUUCAAAAACAACAAAUAAACUGAUCGAUUAAGAACAAUGGAAGACGUACCAAAAGAAUGAAGUUGCGUUGGAGAAUGUUUUAGGAAAAGUAAAUAUCCAGGUGUCUACAUUAAAAAGGGAUGUCAAGAUUUUAUAUCGCAUAUUAAACAAGUUAUAAUACAGAGCCAACUCCAAAACGAAACUAAAGAGAAAAUAGAAUCUAAUCCUCAGGAUGAAAAUAAGGAGUUACAUGGUGUACCGUACUAUGACUUCACUCCAGUACUAGGGCUUCUCAUAGAUAUACAUAAGCUUCAUUCAUAUUUAGAAGAAUGUACUUAUGCCAAUCAGUUCGUCAAGAAUAUGGAUUAUGGAAAAAAAUAUACGAAAUUCAGAGAAGAAAAUUCUGAACUUGUGAAUAAAAUACUGAGUAUAAAUAUUGAAAAUAUCGACGAAAUAAUAAAAAAUCCUCACAAUUUUGAUUUACGCAUAUGUAUGA